rnacentral:miRNA from 1 species
ACUAUUGUGAGCUUUGGUGCA